ensembl:snRNA U6 U6 spliceosomal RNA
GUGGUCACUUUGGCGCACAUAUACUCAAAUUGGAACAAUACAGGUAAGAUUAGCAUGGCCUCUGUGCAAAGAUGACAUGCAAACUCAUGAAGCAUUCCAUAUUUUA